CGGCUUGGGGAUUAGAACCAGCGACCUUUCGGUUACUGGUACAACGCUCUUAACCACUAAGCUACAGAAGAGCUGUCUGUAUUUAAACUAUAUUUUUAUUUUUAGCAACUACAAUGAAAUUCAUAAUAAAGUUUUCAGUUUUAGACAUAUUGACAUUUUUCUAUUUUUAAGUCAGCUUGUUAUUAAUUUUCAUUAUUCUUCAUAGUUACAUUUUCUGACUUUUGAGUUAAAAUUAUAUUUUGAUUUAAAAUAAAUUAUUCUGUUAAAUUCCAUUUAUCAAUUUUUAUGGCAAACCAAAUUAGAUGUAAAAGCUGUUAAACUGACGUCUGUACAUGUGUAUAUUUGGUAGGAGAAGGUAAUUUAAAAUAUGUAGAAAUAGAGAGGAAAUCUUCCAAUCUGCAGAGCAGAAUAAGGAGUCACAGAACAAUGAAUUCUUAUAACACUGGAAGAAAUGCUUCAAGAAAACCAAGCUUCAAGAUCUUUUCUCAUCUCAACUACAUUGCCGCUAAUACUGUGCCAAUGUCUGGAUUCUACCUAUCCCCUGCUUGUGAUAUACAAUGGACUACCAAUCAGUUAAAACUAUGCAGUCUUUAUACAGUCAAGUAUCUGUAUGGAGAGAGCAUUCCAAAGAUGGCAAUCCCAACAUAAUAAAACAUGGACAAACACACUUGAAGUAAAAGAUGCCCUAAAUCACCAUGAAACACCAUUGGACACCACUGGUCUCAUCUAAAGCUGAAAUAACUUCUCAGCAGAACCAUUGCUUCUCUAGACUGUUUUGAAAACUAUCUCCGCUCCUACUAUUUCCUGAGACCCUUGAGUCAAAACGAAGAACUUACCUGAAGUAAACGGCAACGUUCACACUCAAGACUACACCGAGAUACAUUUACAUAAUUCAUUUUAGCCUUUUUAUUUUUCAGCCAUUUAUUAACAAAUAACUCUGAAAAGGCAGAUGUUGAUGUUUAUUAAGCAAAACAUAAUGAAUCACUGUACUGCCUGUACCUUUGACCCUACACCUGCUUACUAAUAUAUCAGAUCUCAAACAGUAACAGCCCUAACCACCACCACACAAACCACAAUUGCUGUAUUCAAAUGUUGUUGUUAGUGCCUGCAUAUUCAAUGCAUGAAAGGGUUGCAUAGACUACAAGGUGUGAAUAAUACUGUAAAUUGAGUGUUUCACAACUGGAAAAAUAUGGUUAUUAUCAGGUAUUUCCCAAGUUGACAGUCAUACAGUAUUCAUAACCCAUCAAUACCCUUUUAUUUCAAUAGAAUAAACUAAGAACAUUUGUACAAGGCUAAGAUUUAAAUAAAUGUUUAUCACAAAAACAAUUAUAAGUUUUGAAAUGUAUAAGACAAAAAUCUUUACUGACUGUAUUCUAUGUAUUUGAAAAAUGUCUUUAAGCUUUGUCACUUGUUGCCUCCUGAACCAGUGUUCAUUUUCCCAACACAAUUGCUUGUUUUGUUCUUCCUUAGAAGUACUUUCCUUUGUAAAUCAUCAUGUUCUAUCGCAAUAUCCAUUAUAUUUUCAUUUGAGAUAUUUUAUUUUUGCUUUGCAUGUUGUACUAACUUGGUUGAAUAGGUGCAAUACAAAUAGAAGCCUUUAAAAUGGUUUGAAGGAUGUACUUUAAAGUUGGGUUAUCAGGCUAAAUGGUAUAUUGAAAGGGUGACAUUGUAUUUUAAUGUUAACACAUUACAGAAUGUGAAUAAACUUACGAGGUAUCAAUACGAAA